CUCUUCUAUUCACUCAAACCAUCCUCAUUCUUCUACAACACCAGGGCAAGACCAAGCUAAGAAUCACUCACAUUUGUACUCUAACUCAGUUAGUAGGAGAAGAAGAGGUAGGUGAAGGAGGGAGUGGUCAAGCUUAGGGAGUAUUGAAGUGUUGGAGCUUAGUUUGAGGUCUGGAGUAGUUUGCUUGUCUGCUUGGUUGAGGGCGCGAUAUCGACCUUUUGCUAGUUUAGCUCCUUAGUUCUUAUUAUGUCAAGACUUGUAUUUUUUUUGGGUUGAGUACUUAUUAGUAAACUCUUGGAUGCUGGUGCCUAUGUUAGAUAUUUGUAUAUUGGGUAUUAGACUUAUGUUUUGGAUUGGAUGGGAUGUUCUACUAUCUUGGAUGUUUAGUUUAGCCUCAGCAUUUGGGAUCGUGUUGACUCAAAUGUGGCGGUUACACCCCAAUUAAGUUCUUUUGUCACUCAA